rnacentral:rRNA from 1 species
AUUGAACGCUGGCGGCAUGCCUUACACAUGCAAGUCGAACGGCAGCACGGGUGCUUGCACCUGGUGGCGAGUGGCGAACGGGUGAGUAAUACAUCGGAACAUGUCCUGUAGUGGGGGAUAGCCCGGCGAAAGCCGGAUUAAUACCGCAUACGAUCUACGGAUGAAAGCGGGGGACCUUCGGGCCUCGCGCUAUAGGGUUGGCCGAUGGCUGAUUAGCUAGUUGGUAGGGUAAAGGCCUACCAAGGCGACGAUCAGUAGCUGGUCUGAGAGGACGACCAGCCACACUGGGACUGAGACACGGCCCAGACUCCUACGGGAGGCAGCAGUGGGGAAUUUUGGACAAUGGGCGAAAGCCUGAUCCAGCAAUGCCGCGUGUGUGAAGAAGGCCUUCGGGUUGUAAAGCACUUUUGUCCGGAAAGAAAUCCUUGGCCCUAAUACGGUCGGGGGAUGACGGUACCGGAAGAAUAAGCACCGGCUAACUACGU